CCUACGGGAGGCAGCAGUAGGGAAUCUUCGGCAAUGGACGAAAGUCUGACCGAGCAACACCGCGUGAGUGAAGAAGGUUUUCGGAUCGUAAAACUCUGUUGGUAGAGAAGAGCGUUGGUGAGAGUGGAAAGCUCAUCAAGUGACGGUAACUACCCAGAAAGGGACGGCUAACUACGUGCCAGCAGCCGCGGUAAUACGUAGGUCCCGAGCGUUGUCCGGAUUUAUUGGGCGUAAAGCGAGCGGAGGUGGUUUAUUAAGUCUGGUGUAAAAGGCAGUGGCUCAACCAUUGUAUGCGUUGGAAACUGGUAGACUUGAGUGCAGGAGAGGAGAGUGGAAUUCCAUGUGUAGCGGUGAAAUGCGUAGAUAUAUGGAGGAACACCGGUGGCGAAAGCGGCUCUCUGGCCUGUAACUGACACUGAGGCUCGAAAGCGUGGGGAGCAAACAGGAUUAGGUACCCCAGUAGUC
rnacentral:rRNA from 1 species